rnacentral:rRNA from 2 species
GACAGAGGUCUCAAGCGUUAGGCGGAAUCACUGGGCUUAAAGCGUGUGUAGGCGGAUGCCUAAGUACCUUGUGAAAUCCCACGGCUUAACCGUGGAACUGCUUGGUAUACUGGGUGUCUUGAGCCAGCUAGGGGCGACCGGAACAAACGGUGGAGCGGUGAAAUGCGUAGAUAUCGUUUGGAACGCCAAUGGUGAAAACAGGUCGCUGGGGCUGUGCUGACGCUGAGACACGAAAGCCAGGGGAGCAAACGGG